rnacentral:misc_RNA from 1 species
AAUAUGAUGUAGAACACACGACCUAAAAGAGAGAUAAAUAAAUUAACAAACAUACAAUAAAAUAAAUGAAUUAGAGCUUGUUUAUUGAAAUUAUUUGAAAGAAAAAGAACCAAAUAAUUGAUUGGCAAAUUCUGCUCUGUAAACUGUAGCAGGACUCAACCAAACCCAAACUCUCACAUUAUGUGGAGUGUAUGGAGGUUUUUCAAAGGUAAGGUAAGCUAAUGGAAUGGAAGGCAUCAAAACCUACCAACACUCCAAUUUGGUGGGUUG